rnacentral:lncRNA from 7 species
ACCAGUGUCCAUUACUGAACUUUCUGGAUCAUCCCAUGUCAACACAAAAUUAUUGCUACACCCUACACAUGUCUCCAGGCCUUCACCAAAGAAAGGGAUAUUCAGUGGUUGAAAAUGAACCAGAAGAAAGAACUUCAGAAGAAAGAGCUGGGAAGGAUAGAAGAGAAAAAUGAAGUGAACCAGAAUAUUACCUGGCACACCAACUGAGGAAAUGCUGAAGAACUCUGUUUUAAGUAAUCAUUCACAUGAGUGCCUGUUUACCAGUCCAGUCCAACAGUGAGCAACUUCGAACAUUUACUCCUCUUGGACCAGCACAGCCAGCACCUGCAGCACAUCAUUCGCUGGUGAGUUUAAUGCUACCCGUCUGUUAUGUUCAUUUGUAUGCCGGAGCAGUGCUGACAAGCCUCCUGUUGUUCCAUGUAGCAUCUGUGUCAGCCAACCAGUUUAUUUUAGUUUUGUUUUUUUUGCUGAAACUUCGUUAUAGUUGUGAAGAGCAAAUAGGAUCCUUCUGGAGUCCAGGACUUUCACAACUUAGAGACGAAUUUGCCAGUGAAUGACCACCUCAGCCAUCCUUUCUGAGGAUACAACAGAUUUAAGCACAGAAAUUGUCUUAGCAGAAAACCAAGAGCAGACAAAUGACUGCUAGCUGGAUUUGCUGUUCGAAGUGUCAGAUGAGAAUAAGUAGGGUAAGUUCCAGUUAAGAAGCUCUUUAGCCCCAGAACAGUCUUGAAUGAUGAAGUCAAUUAUGGAACAAGGCUUUAUUCAUGUGGGUGUAAUCACCUUGUUCUUAAAUCAGUUUUGAAGGUGGAACUUUAGCUUCUAGUUCUUGUUGUAAAUUUUCAAAAGAACCUACCACUCUAAGCUACUGCCAGUUUUUCUAUUGUGUGCAUAUAUAAAAAUCUCAUUUUGAAUCUCGAUAAGCUCUUGGCUUUAAUAAUGUCUCGAGACUGCGAGUUUCAUAGCUUAUUUAUCAUGCACUGAAUAAAUAAAAAAUCCUUUUGUUGUUG